ensembl:miRNA
AGGACUUAGCUCGCUCCGUGAACAGUUCAGUGAAGUCCUGUGUUCACAGUGGCUAAGUUCCGC